CGAGGUGUGCAGUGCCCAGCCCAGCAUACAAUAUAAAUACAGUGCUCAGCCUUGCCAUCUCCCACUGAGCGUGCCAGACCAGAAACAACUCCGCUCCAGAGAGAGUAAAGGCGCAAAGAUGAAGGUGUUGUACGUGGCCGCUUUUCUCAUCGGGCUCCUCUCCCUGGAGAGCACCAGAGCAGCUCCGUUGAAAAAGCAGUUGUGGUCGGUGGGCUCCGGUAGCGUAGAUACCGGCAACGUGGGAGAUGGCAGCUUUGACGACAACAGCCAAAACAACCAGUUCUGGUCAGUGGGCUCUGGUAGCGUAGACACCGGCAACGUGGGAGACGGCAGCUUUGACGACAACAGCCAAAACAACCAGUUCUGGUCAGUGGGCUCCGGUAGCGUAGACACCGGCAACGUGGGAGACGGCAGCUUUGAUGACAACAGCCAAAACAACCAGUUCUGGUCAGUGGGCUCCGGUAGUGUAGACACCGGCAACGUGGGAGACGGCAGCUUUGAUGACAACAGCCAAAACAACCAAUUCUGGUCAGUGGGCUCUGGUAGCGUAGACACUGGCAAUGUGGGCGACGGCAGCUUUGACGACAACAGCCAAAACAACCAAUUCUGGUCAGUGGGCUCCGGUAGCGUAGACACCGGCAACGUGGAAGACGGCAGCUUUGACGACAACAGCCAAAACAACCAGUUCUGGUCAGUGGGCUCCGGUAGCGUAGACACCGGCAACGUGGGAGACGGCAGCUUUGAUGACAACAGCCAAAACAACCAAUUCUGGUCAGUGGGCUCCGGUAGCGUAGACACCGGCAACGUGGGAGACGGCAGCUUUGACGACAACAGCUCCCCGGGGUAGCUAUGAGACAUACCGGAGGAGGCCUUUUGUUAUCACUCAGAAGGCACUUCUACUGGGGGUCCCCAGCAAAACAACCAAGUCUAGUCAGUGUAUGAGGCUCCCAGAAACCCACCACGACAACUGCCCUGAUGCUUUCUGUCCCGUGCUCUCACCCAUCUCAGCCUGAACAUGAAAAACACAGCACGCUCCGGUGGAAUUUGCUUAUGCCCUGUUCGAUGAUUUGACUGUAGGUCGCAGUUCUUACCCUUCCGUUGCCCCUCAGAUGCCUCUGCAAUAAUGCAAAUAAACCUGUUUCCACUCAGAUCCUCA